UUUUAUUAUAUGACAAAUACAUACAUUCAUUGUUUCGAUAUGUCAUACAAAAGGCUGAUAUUCGGCAAACAACUGUAUUUACACUUAGAUGUGGCCUCAUAAUUGCGUCACAAACCACAGGUUGCAGCUUCACGGGCAUGACGGACGGGGCAACCAGUUUUCUACGACUGUUAUUUUUCCUCUGGCGAGCUGAGAUAACUUGGAAACUACAAACCUUGCUGUGAUGCCCAUAACACCCACGAGCGUGCUACAUGCCUGGAGCACCGCUUCACGAGGAAGUAAAUCUGCAUUACCGACGAGACGAGCGGCGAGGCGGCACCGCGGCUCCAGGCGGGGCGGCGGCUCCUCCGACACCCGCGUCAUGCCCUUCAGCUUCCAGCAGCAGACGAGCGGCUGAACAGACACUCCCCGGGAUGACUGAACGACAGCCAGGCUGGACUGAAUGAUCCAGCAGUUGCUGCAGGUGUGGCCAGGUGUUGCAACCCUCCAAUAAGCACCUGUACCAAUCUGGAUAGAGAUGUGUAGUUCACAGUGUAAGGACAAUCCAGUUGUCAGUCAAACAUCUGGCACUGUUCCCCAAAAGAGCUGACAAACUCCGAGCCAAGUUUUUUUUUUUCUUUACACUCUGGCCUAUAGCGCUGGUAGGCUUUCUUCAGGGGCCUGGUGGUCGACCCAAGCCCGUCAUGGCGCAGGCAAGUGUUUAUAGCAGCACCAUUUCUUCUUGGCUCAUGCUGCCCGCCGGAGCUCAUUCUUGAUUCACUUGGACAGUUCCUCUAGAGUUGGGGUUGAUAGGUGAUCUUCAGGACAGCACGUGGGUAGCCUUAUGCCACUUGGCAAUGACUGAAAAAUCCCAGGUGGUAGUAGAGAGUUUGAACCCGCAUUGUCCAGAACUUGGUGAACGCAGGACCUGCACACUAACCAUUCAGCCACUGCCUCUCUGUUCCAACAUGAGUAAAAUAUGAGAGGCCAGAAGAGAGUGGUUGAUUUCAAAUGGAGAAGUGUCUAGAUAGGCAGGAGGAAAUAGAUGAAGGAGGGCUGCUCUGGAGUUAACCUGCAUAAGGAAUUAGGACAGUAUAGAGACGAGUAGAACGUUAUGUAAAAAGGGACCACAGUAGAGGUGGAGGCAUGCAGUUAGCAAGCUCAGAAGGGCAAUCAUCAUGAAAAUGUCUAUAGAAGACAGAGGGGCAACAUUGCAGCAAAGUUUGCUAUAGAAGAAGAAAGUUUAGGUUUGACUCCAUCGAGUCCAAAACAACUAUGUGAGUGAAGCCCCUCCUAUAUGAAAUGCGCUCUCCAUACGAGGACAGACAAGGCCCCUGGAUAUCAUUUGUGAGGGGUAAAAAACUGAAAGACUAAUACAGAACACACAACUUCAAAGAAGCUGAUUUAGGAAGAGGUGAGAUGAAAUUAUGAGUUGAGGAUAGACCAAAUAUGUUUAUUGUUUAAGUGGACAGCUGAGUGUAGUCAUAGAAUAGGCAACAGAUGUUCGGAAUUCUAUCCCUCUGUUUUUAUAUCGUGUUUCCUUUCAAGCUGAUCUAUCUAUGCUGUGGUAAUCCUGCCACUGUCUUCCCCUAAACCUCUCAGCACCUGUAUUCUGUACGACUAUUUUAUUUCCCUCUCUGAGGAAAAAGUCAAUUUCUCCGCCUAUCAACUGAACAAAUUCCAUCGUCUAUUCCCUAGUCUUCGACCACACUCAGCAGUCCCCUUCCCCUACACUAAAUAUUCUCUGUCUAUCCUUAACUCAAAACAUUAACUGAAAACUUAUUUCCUCUCUUGCUAAAUCAGAUUCUUCGAGGUUAUGCAUUUGUAUCGUUUUCACCAGUUCUAUUCCCCCUCACACAUGCUGUCCACAUACAAGGGUCUUUUCUGUCCUCAUAUGGAGUAUGACAGAAGUCUUAGACAAAUGGUGGAAAAUUCUAUAGGAUCAAGGUCAUGGGCACGAGAGGAAGUAACAUCUUGGCAUACAUAGAUGCAGCAUCCAGCUUGGAUUGAAAGCUGGGAUGAAGAUAGCAAGAGACAUACAUCAUGGCAGCCACUAAUGGACUGGAGUUGUCCAAGAAACCCCACAAGAAAGCCUACCAUCACUAUUGACCAUUACUGUCAGUAGCCCCAGAGACCCGUGUUUCAGUUAAGAAGAAGAGGUAAAGGAAGAGGAGGUAAAAGAGGAGAGAUGAUGUUCUACAGGAUGGAAGCUGAAGCAAAGAUCGUGAAUGUUGCAAAAUUUGGAAAAAAAAGACUGACUUUCACAAUGUAUACAACAAGCUGAACAUUUUAGAAUACCUUGGAAGAAGGAAGGCUGGGAGGAUCGAGGCAGGCACGGGCAGUAUACUGGCAGGAGUGAGGACAGCACAGCCUUUACCAUGAUUGAGUUCAGAAGAGCAGACUUCAGGGCAGGCUGAUGAUAUACGUGACCCUCUGCAAAAUUUACAUUGAGUCACAUUUUUAUGUAGUAGUACUAUACCCAUCUAUCUCAAUGCCAUGUUCCCUCAAGGGAGCAGUCACAUAUUUUUUUUUUUUGUACGUUGUUGCCUAUUGCGCCGGUAGGCAUCUUCCCGGUGUGGCCUGAUGGUCGGCCCUGCCCGUUCUGGCGCAGGCGAGUGUUUAUAGCGGUGUCAUCUUGCAUUGGCUCAUGCUGCCCCCCGGAACUCGUUCUUGAUUCGCUUGGACGGCUUCCUCUAGAAUCCGGGUUGAUGGGUGGUCUUCAGGACAGCAUGUGGGUAGUUUUAAGCCACUCGGUGGUGACUGAAAAAUCCGAGUGGUAGCGUGGGGACUCGAACCCGCGUCGUCCAUCACGCGGUGAAUGUGGGCCCAGUACGCUACCAGCUCGGCCACCGCCUACCCAAUGGAGUAUGCAUCACACGUGUGGGGGGGUCCACUCACACAGCUCUUCUGGACAGAGUGGAGUCUAAGGCUCUUCAUCUCUUCAGCUCUCCUCCUCCUACUGAUAGCCUUCUACCUCUUAAAAUCUGCCGCGGUGUUGCCUCUCUUUCUAUCUUCUAUCGAUAUUUCCACGCUGACUGCUUUUCUGAACUUGCUAACUGCAUGCCUCCCCCCAUCCCGCGGCCCCGCUGCACACGACUUUCUACUCAUGCUCAUCCCUACAUUGUCCAAACCCCUUAUGCAAGAGUUAACCAGCAUCUUCACUCUUUCAUCCCUCACGCUGGUAAACUCUGGAACAAUCUUCUUUCAUCUGUAUUUCCUCCUGCCUACGACUUGAACUAUUUCUAGAGGAGGGUAUCAGGACACCUCUCCUCUCGAAAUUGAUCUUUCUUUCGGCCACCUCUUUUAAUUAUUUUUUGGGAGCAGCGAGUAGUGGGCUUUUUUUAUUGUUUUCUUUUUUUGUGUGCCCUUGAGCUGCCUCCUUUUGUAAAAAAAAACCACCAUGUCUCCCUGUUCAGUCACUUCCUCUCAGUACACACAUUCUUUCAUCUACCAACUAUUUUGUUCCAUUAAUCAUCUGCUCUAUUGAUCCAUUUCACAAGUGGUCUCCCCCUCUCCUCAGUCCUUCUCUGCAAAGUCUCUUCACAAACUCAUACUUAUUCGUCAUGUGGCCAACCAUCUCAAAGCACCAUGCUUCACAACUCACUGCUUUUGGUGUCACACCUUUACCAAACCUUUUCAUUCAUGCUCUAAUGCCUUCUCCAUCCCACCUCAACACACAAAAUGCAUCUCGCAUUGCUCAUUUCUACUAGUACACACAUUAGUGAUCGGCACGCUACACCACUCAUCCACACCUCUGAUGCAUGAGACAGUUGGGGGGUUAACAGUUUUCUAUAUUACCCUUUUCACAACCAUUAGGGUUUAUUAUGCACAUAGGGCUACCACACCAGUCCUACAAGUCAUCCACACUAUCAUCAAUCCAUUCCAUCCAUUUUCAUCUAUACUCUUGAGGAAAACAAUAAUGCGCCCCCUUCCUUUCCUAUUCCCUUUUCAUCUGCUGCCAUACCAGUCCUUUUCUCUCUGCAUGGCUACAAACUAUUUUUGUCAUUAUUUGAACAAGUCUGUGCACCACACCAUUUCUGGGUUUCACUAAUACCUAGAAAUACCUUUCCUCUCCUGAAUGCUUCUAUAACUUAUUCUCCUUUUUCGUUCUUCAGCCAGUUCAUUUAAAUUCACACAUGCAACAAUAAGGAACUUCCCUUCCUGGGGAGAAUGGAGACCCAGCUCUGCUUGGCAUUUUAUAUCACCCCCACAAGGGGCCACGGGCAGCUAGCAGGACUAGUGCAGUGUUAGUUCCUAAAGGAAAAUGAGUCAUCA